ANUGUAUAUAUUUUAAGAUACAGUUCGAUUUGUUUAACUUAUUACACCGUAGGGCAACGAUUUUAUAAUAUUGUUUAGCUUUCCCUUAACGCAGCUAUCGAAAAUUGUAACAUUGGCAAAAGCGGUACGCGUAAGGAUAUAUAUUUAUGUUGAAGAAAAAAAUGUACAUUUAUACAAUAAAUUAAUGUUCAACGAAAGUAUUGACUGACUCGAAUGUCCACCUGAGUCAGUCGCUUUUAGAAAUAAAAUCGAUUCUAAAAGUUGAUGAUUGAAACCCAGGUGUAGAUUCGAAUUUGAAUCGUCCGCGCUACCUGCGACGCGUCCGCCAUUAAAAUCCAACACAAUGAACAACUCCUAAUCCCUUGUGUCGAACGUGUAACGGUGUAACGCCCUUAAAAGUGAUCGCGCUGAAACGUGCAUGCACGAAAUCAAUUAAAUAAUGGAACGAUUAUAACGAGUCUGCUGGUGAAGGACCGUGGAUCAACGGAACGAUAAUGCGUGAGAUCGCGGAGCCCUCCUCCUUAUCAAGACUGAGCGGACGCGUAUGGUGUCGGGUAGGAAAACAAAAAUGCUUCAGUGUCGUGCUGGUGGUUUGGCCUAGCGCUCGGUAGUUGCAUGUUACGCUGGAUGUUAAGCAAUAUCCAUGCACAUAAGCGGUUACGCGGUUGGAACCGGUUCUCCUGAAUCGUUACACGCUUGAAAGGCUAGUUUCGAACGUGCGCGAGGUGAAAGUCGACGAGGUAUGAUCAAAGAAAAUACCCGUGGUUAGUUACAGUCGGACCACGCGUGUAACGUGCUCGGGAAAAAUGAUGUUCACACGAAUUUCUACGAUUCGAUCGAACGGUUAACCAAAAAACGCGCAUCGGGAUACGUCCGCCGUGAACGUAACUACGAAAGAUAAACACGUAUUGUCAAUCGUUCGUCGAACGUGAAAGGGAAAAUUUUGUUUACAAUGGCUGUGCUGAACAAGUGGGAGAACGCUUGCAGAUUGUGUUCAGAGGAGAAGAACGAGAUGCUCUCGAUAUUCGGUAAAGAGGGCAUACAGAGGAAGGUAGCGCAGAAGCUGCGUGCCUGUCUCCCGGUUCUCGUUUACAAGACCGAUCCACUGCCAAAGCAGAUAUGCCAGUUCUGUGCCGCGAGGCUGGACGACGUCUACGAGUUCAGGGAGUACUGUCUCAGCGUCUACAAGAGCAUGCACUUGAAACUGUUAGCUUGUAAGAGCGUCGAGUCUGUUCAGAUAUACUUAGAAGCUAUGAAAAACUCCCCGGAUCCGUGCCAGGCUCAGUUGUGGAGGGAGAAGGCCAGAGCUCCUCCACCUUUAGUACCUUUGCCGGUCUCACUGCCAGUCGACAAUCCGUCAUUGCCAAUAGACGUUAGCCAGGAACAAGCUAGUUGCAUCGAAACCUUGUCCGAACUACCGUGCGAAGUAGAGAUAAAAGAAGCCUCGGAACCGAUACUGGGAGCCGAUGUGUACGAGCGGAAGGAUAAGAACAAUUUAGCAGAUGAAUUGAGCAAUGAAGCGAAGAAAGACGAGAAGAGGACGAGUAUUUUGGAACAGGUGCUGAUGGGCAGUUUAACGAUGAACGAUAGAAGCGAUUUGAGCCCAGAGAGCAAACCAUCCUCCGAGUGGUGGUGUACUCCCUGCAAUAGUUACUACAAGACGAAGGAGAGCCUGAUGAAGCACAUGCAGUCUGAAUGCCCGAGGAAAUACAAUUGUAGAAAAUGUUCGGAUCACUUCGAAUCUGUAGAAGACUUGGCCAGGCACGAGGCCACUAAUCAUUUAAAGAUAACGCUAGACUUCGAUAGGACCGUUCUAGAUUGUAAUCAAUGUGAUAGACAAUUCGUUAGUUGGGAGAUGCUGAAGAAACAUAGACUAAGCGAUCACUCGACUGAUUGUGAGACUAACGAGACUGGGACCAACACUCGGUGCUCUUUAUGUAAUAGAUUUUUCCCAAGUAUAGAAGCUUACCAAAACCACGCGCAGUUACACGAAUUAAAUAAUUGCACGCCGUCGAAGGCAGUGGAACAACAACAAGUCGUAAGAAACGAGGAACCUAAGGAAGGGAAAAGGGAUCAUUUUAUGGAGGGCAGCAAAUCGCUCACGUGUCCCACUUGUGGCAAGACGUGUACUCAGCAAAGUGCUUUAUCGAAUCAUAUGCGCACUCACGAACCAAAAAGACAUAAAUGUGAUAUCUGCGGACGAUCCUUCGGACUCUUUAUUCGUCUAGCGACCCACCGAAUGAGCGAGCACAGUCAGCAGCCUACGAUGUCGCCUGUAAUGGCCAGCGUGGAACAAGAAGAGGCGUUGAACGCUGAAAGAGAAGCUAGAGAGGCCAGGGAGGCGAGGACUCGAGCGAAAGCCAGAUCUUAUUCAGAGAUAAUAGAAAGAGAAGACACUCCUAAUCACGAGGAACCACCGUCGAAGAGAUUGAGCACCGGUGCAUUUAAGAACGUGGCGAGAUGCGGUAUUUGUCUACAGUGGUUCAGCGAUCACACGACGAUGUUGAUACACCUGCAGACGCAUUCUGAUAAUUACACUUGUAAAAACUUCAUCUGCCACGUGUGUAAGAAAUCUUUCAAGGAGAAGUGGCAGCUGUUCAGGCACGAGGUGUCUCAUAAACGAAACGAGUCCUCGUCGGUGUUCACGUGCGCUGUAUGCAACAAGUCGUUCAACGAUAAGAACGCGUACAAGGUGCACCAGAAGACGCACAUCGUAGACAAGACAUAUCAUUGUUCGAAAUGUAAUAAAAUAUUCUUCAAAGAGGUGUCGAUGCUGACGCAUCAGUGCACGUCGGAGUUGGUGCUCGGUAAGAAAGGAGUCCCUUCGAAAUCUCCCCAGCGAACUGCCACCAACAACAGCAAGAAAUACAAAUGUAACAAAUGCAACGCGUCUUUCAGUAGCUUCCAAUCGAAGAACUCGCACAUGAGAGUGCACACGGAGAGUUCGCAUACGACAGUGAGGAAACAGGAAUUGGACGAGUCGGAGGAAGAAGGAAUGCCAAAAUUAGUUCCAGAGGCGUCGUUAGAAUACUCUGUGCCUCCCAUCGAACCAAAAGUAGAGAUAAACGAGGAGACCGCUCCGCCUCCGGUCAAGCGAACUCUGAUUAGGACCACUGGCGGAUAUCGUUGCGGAGUAUGCCAGUCGCCGUUCGUUCUACGCGAGCUAGCUGUGGCACACUUGAGAUCGGCGCACCCACUGAUGCCUUAUCAGUGUCCUUAUUGUAAAAAACAGUUCACCACCCAAUACAUGUUCGCUCAUCACAUUAAAACUGAUCAUCCCGACGAGCACGAGAAUUGAGACGUGAACGAUUAACAUGCCAAACGAUGGUUCUUCUACCAUAAAUUGCCUUUAAGAAUAGGGUGGCGGUCGAAGCUCGAAUCGGCGUCAGUUUCGUAAUGGCGGUAUGGAAGUGAGUGAACUGCAUGAUAAACUUUUCGUAAGUAAUUUUAUUUCAUAAAUAAUCAUUAGACAAGCGUUAAUCGUUACAUAAUUGUUAAUUAAGAAUGAUAUUAACGAUCGUUCGUCGUUCGUCAAAGAAUAUUCUCGUUCUCGACGUCUGGCUAUGCCGUUGCAUGCACUACUGCGCGUCGGUUGCUCAUCGACUUUUACUACUGAAUUUGAAGUCUCAAAGUCUAAACGCGUAUUCGUAGUUCGAACGAAGAGACAAAAACUCGAAUGCAAAUGCAGAGUCGACGCUGAGAAUUCGUUCGAACCGUUUUUAUAAUAUCGACGCAUUCGCUUCUAAUUUUCAACAGUUCAUGAAAGUUUAAGUGUACAGUUUAUCGGAAAUUGUACACAGUUUCUAAAACGAUGUAGUACACUCGAUGAGGAACGAUUUCGUUUGAAAAUAGGGUGGGCGGGAUUGGUUUGAAAAGUAAGGCUGAAAUACGUUGAUAAUGAAAACUGGCCCGGUGGGGGAGUGAACGUAGGGCGCAUGGAAAAAGCGUCGGGGGGCAGAUCUGCCGCAUAGCCGACGGAAACCCUGUGAUCUCGAUCAGACGCGACGCGUCCGCGAUCACGUACGGUGCACCACGCGAGACGACGAGUCAACUUCGUACACGUUCGUUCAGUCAUUUCGGAUGUGAACUCUCGAUCGUAGAAAGAAA